rnacentral:rRNA from 1 species
UACGUAGGGUGCAAGCGUUUGUCCGGAAUUAUUGGGCGUAAAGAGCUCGUAGGCGGCUUGUCACGUCGACUGUGAAAACCCGGGGCUCAACUCCGGGCCUGCAGUCGAUACGGGCUGGCUUGAGUGCGGUAGGGGGAGACUGGAAUUCCUGGUGUAGCGGUGAAAAUGCGCAGAUAUCAGGAGGAACACCGGUGGCGAAGGCGGGUCUCUGGGCCGUAACUGACGCUGAGGAGCGAAAGCGUGGGGAGCGAACAGG